rnacentral:tRNA from 1 species
GCCCGGGUGGCUCAGUCGGUUAAGCGUAUGACCCUCAGUUUCAGCUCAGGUCAUGAUCUCGUGGUUUCGUGGGUUCAAUCCCCACAUCGGGCU